UGGCCAUUAAUCUUUGCCUUUGGUUUAUUGUGUUCUAGAUUUCCAAAGAAUCCACGCCCUGAAAUUCAUCUAGAGAGCCCUGCUCGACGCACCCUGCAUGAGCUUCAGCCUUCUGAAACUCAAUUAUACUAUGAAGAUAAGAAGAAUUACAGGGAGUUUUCUGAGACUCCUAAGAAGUCCAACAGAAAGAAGCGUGAGGAAGUAGAAAGGUGCUGAUAUAACCACUGAUUUGAAGCUUAUAAGUUGGUUUCCCUAUCAAUUAAUUAUUUUUGUAUUUUCUGGGUAUAGCAGGUUAAAGCAGCUUCAUACACUAAAGGGUCAUGUUGAAUCAGUGGCGGAACUCAGGGAACUUGACAUCGACUCCGAUGAACACUACUACUCUAUUUGAGAAGCUGCAAUUGUAAGUGAUAUUGGCAAAGAUUUUCAUCUGUUUUUUGCCUCUAGCCAAUUGAUUUCUCUUGUUCUUUUUGUGUUUUGUUACAUUUGUUUUCAAUGUUAAUUCCAAUUUUGGCAUCCAGCAGAAUCAUACAUCAUUUGUACUAGUUGCUUUCACAUAGCAAAAUUCCAUUGUUCUCUUGGGUGGCUUAGGGAAGUGGUGCUCUGACUGAAAGUGCCUUGAUUCUAUGUUUCUGGCAGAGGACAUGACGCUGGUUGUGGUGAAGGUCUCUUGCUUGGCAGAAGGAAUGGGAUUGAGGAAGGCCGCAAGACUCAAAUACUUAGGGAUUGAAAACUUUGUGUGUUGUACAUAAAACCUGAGUUAGCUGUAGAAAAAAAAAUUUAAUUGUAACACUAUCAUAAUAUUAUUAUCAAAUUAGUUAUUGUUUUGUUUCAUUUUUAUUAUAAAAGGGAAUUUUUA
rnacentral:misc_RNA from 1 species